rnacentral:rRNA from 1 species
UGAAACUGCGAAUGGCUCAUUAUAUCAGUAAUAGUUUAUUUGAUGGUCCCUUACUACUUGGAUAACCGUAGUAAUUCUAGAGCUAAUACAUGCACUACAGUCCCACCUACCUCGGCGGACGGGAUGUCUUUAUUAGAUCGAAGCCAAUGCGGCGCAAGCCGGUAUUGUGGUGAUUCAUGAUAACUUUGCGAAUCGCAUGCCCUCUGGGCGGCGAUGUUUCAUUCAAGUUUCUGCCCUAUCAGCUUUGGAUGGUAGGGUAUUGGCCUACCAUGGCUUUAACGGGUAACGGAGAAUUGGGGUUCGAUUCCGGAGAGGGAGCCUGAGAGAUGGCUACCACAUCCAAGGAAGGCAGCAGGCGCGUAAAUUACCCAAUCCCGACUCGGGGAGGUAGUGACAAGAAAUAACA